rnacentral:rRNA from 1 species
CACGUAGGGUGCGAGCGUUGUCCGGAAUUAUUGGGCGUAAAGAGCUCGUAGGCGGUGUGUCGCGUCGGCCGUGAAAACCUGCAGCUCAACUGUGGGCUUGCGGUCGAUACGGGCAUCACUGGAGUUCGGCAGGGGAGACUGGAAUUCCUGGUGUAGCGGUGAAAUGCGCAGAUAUCAGGAGGAACACCGGUGGCGAAGGCGGGUCUCUGGGCCGAAAUUGACGCUGAGGAGCGAAAGCGUGGGGAGCAAACAGG